CUUGUAAUAAUUUUAGUUUUGAUUUGAAAUCAAUAUGUUUGUUUUUAUUAACAAUUACAAGU
rnacentral:tRNA from 1 species